UCACUCCUUAUUACUAUACACAUAUACCAAAUGACUCCUUAGACAUUUUCAUUUUUGUUGAAAGGGUUUCAAACCCAAAAGCCGCCGCUUGUACUCACCAGCACACAUCAUGGGUUUUUGCCGGAAGUGGAAAAAUUCUAGGCAUGUAUUGUUUUUCUCAGUGUUGUCAAGCUAUUUCGGGCAAUAGCAAUUAAUGUUCUUGCCCUCUCUCAUCUAUAUCCACCAUAUAACCACUCCAAGAGAUUCAAUCGUCGGUACUAGUGGAGCGCGUGAUUACUGAGUCGCCUAUUAGAGCCUUUAUGACGAGAGAUCGGGGUGAGCACCAUCUUUAGCCUCUUGACUCUCCUCUAUCAUUUACUUUCUGUCUUUCCUCAUUCCAGACAGUUCCAUUUAUGUAUUUCAGACUAUUUGUACUCCUUAGUAGUCCUUGUAUGCGAGUGACAUCAGAUUUUGGGGAUAAGUGUAAUAGCUUCUAAGUAUGUUCUUUAAGAUUAUUUAAGACUUGAAAUUGGCUUGUAUGACUUAUUUCAGCUUUCAGUUUUCCGCUUAAUAAGGGUAU